rnacentral:tRNA from 1 species
UCCCAGGUGGCUCAGAUAGUAAAUCUGCCUGCAAUGCAGGAGACCCAGGUUCGAUCCCUGGGUUGGGAA